AUUGAACGCUGGCGGCAGGCCUAACACAUGCAAGUCGAGCGGAGCGGCGGACGGGUGAGUAAUGCCUAGGUAUCUGCCUGGUAGUGGGGGAUAACGUACGGAAACGGGCGCUAAUACCGCCUACUUUCAGAUGAGUCUAGGCCGGAUUAGCUAGUUGGUGGGGGAAAGGCCUACCAAGGCGACGAUCCGUAACUGGUCUGAGAGGAUGAUCAGUCACACUGGAACUGAGACACGGUCCAGACUCCUACGGGAGGCAGCAGUGGGGAAUAUUGGACAAUGGGCGAAAGCCUGAUCCAGCCAUGUCGCGUGUGUGAAGAAGGUCUUCGGAUUGUAAAGCACUUUAAGUUGGGAGGCGUUACCAACAGAAUAAGCACCGGCUAACUUCGUGCCAGCAGCCGCGGUAAUAC
rnacentral:rRNA from 1 species